rnacentral:rRNA from 1 species
GAUGAACGCUGGCGGCGUGCCUAAUACAUGCAAGUCGAGCGAACAGACGAGGAGCUUGCUCCUCUGACGUUAGCGGCGGACGGGUGAGUAACACGUGGAUAACCUACCUAUAAGACUGGGAUAACUUCGGGAAACCGGAGCUAAUACCGGAUAAUAUAUUGAACCGCAUGGUUCAAUAGUGAAAGACGGUUUUGCUGUCACUUAUAGAUGGAUCCGCGCCGCAUUAGCUAGUUGGUAAGGUAACGGCUUACCAAGACAACGAUGCGUAGCCGACCUGAGAGGGUGAUCGGCCACACUGGAACUGAGACACGGUCCAGACUCCUACGGGAGGCAGCAGUAGGGAAUCUUCCGCAAUGGGCGAAAGCCUGACGGAGCAACGCCGCGUGAGUAAUGAAGGUCUUCGGAUCGUAAAACUCUGUUAUUAGGGAAGAACAAAUGUGUAAGUAACUAUGCACGUCUUGACGGUACCUAAUCAGAAAGCCACGGCUAACUACGUG